CUCACAAACCAUUGAGAUCAUGACCUGAGCCGAAGUUGGAUGCUUAACUAACUGAGCCACCCAGGUGCCCCCCAGACAAACCCAUUUCUGCAUUUCACCAGCCAUAGCUCCUUCUCUGCCCCUUUUGAUGCUUUCUCCAGAGUUUAGGCAGUUUAUAAUCAGGAUACAAAUUCAGUUUAGAUUUCAGAAGGGAAAGUUUUGCUUUAAUGCCACACUGAGCAACUUCAAGGAAUUGAGCUCUCCAGGGCACAUCUAGGUGUCCUGGACCCUCCUCACACAGGUCGUCAGACCUGGAGGGUGUGUGCAGUUUUAGUCGUGGCCGCAGAUAGGCUCUCUGUCACUCUGCCCUCCCCCUGGAAUGAACUCAUUGCCCACAUUCUCCACCAUGUGUGGCCAGAGGCCCUCACUGUUUUCACAAACUCAAGACACUUGUGUCCCGAUGCAGAAACCGUGCGCUACACGUGGGUGUGCUGUGAUUCUUAACGGGACUUUCUGGGCCACUCCACAGCUUGGCCCACCAGUGGAUGCGCCAACGGCCUUGUCAUUCCUCGGAGGUGAUGGGGAGACAGUGACGAGAACACUGGAGCCCCGGGUAGGAACUCGGCGAAACUUGGCACUGGAGUGUUUUCAAGGGAAGCUUUCGGUGAACCAGGGCUUUCCGGUCAGGGUCGCCUACAUCGGAGUCAGAAAGUGCAAACGUCUAGGUGUCCAGCCGUCACUCGCAAACGUGAGGACUUGCUCAGCUCUCCAGCCCCGGAGCCGUCACCUCUCUGCCAUCAGAGCGGGCACGUAUAGCCUGCUGGGAGGCUCAUGGAAGGCCUUCCUCCCGCACUGGCACCGCCGAGCCAUUUUCGCUCCUGAAGGCGCUAUGUGUCCUGAAGACCCACUUUCGGGGACAGCCCUCUUCUCGUGCAGCCAGUGCUUGGAGCAGCAGCCGGCCGGGAGGCUGGCCGGAGCACCAGCUCAGCCCUUCCGUGCCAAUCAGUGCCGUCCGGACAGUCUCUCCCAAGGGGCCUUUCUCCAGAGGGCAGACCCGUUGCCUUCGCUCUCUCGCGGUCAGGCCCGGUUCCUGUUGACGGCGCAGGUGCGGCUCCAAGCGGCGGGUCUGGAGCCUGUCAUCCAAAACCAAAGUGAAACAGAGCAUUUCUCAUGAGCUGGUAUUGAAGUUCCUUUGUGUCCCCAAAGCUGUACAUCGAACUGUAUUCAAUUGUACGCCCUUAGUAGUGGAAGGUAUGUCAAGUGAACCAGUUUAUGCUGUACUUGUAUUAAUAUUGAGCAUAAUUAAAUGUGGAGCCCUGUGA